rnacentral:lncRNA from 1 species
GGGGACUCGGCCGCCAUGUUAGGAGUGCCGGGAACAGUCCGCGGAUCCUGGCUGAGGUUUUAGGCAGCGCGCGAGCCGAAUGGUGGUGCGGUGGGGACGAGUGUCUACACUAUGAAAGAUGGAAAAUUUCUUUUUCUCCUGAGGUACAACAAUGGGAAAGGCUCAUACAAAUAUUUCUGGUAUUCAGAAACACCUUUGCAAGUAAUUGUGGACACAGAUGCCAAAAUUUAAAAAGUACUUCUGCAUACGUAUAUUCAGUGAAAAAUCAAACUCUACCACAUGGACAAGCAUUGCUUAAUUAAGGUGUGUAAUACAGUUUUGGGGGUUUUUUUUUAGGGAAAUGAACAAAUUAUAUCUUCAUCUAAAGCAUUUGAUUAAAGAAAUUAAGCCCUACAGUACUCUAUUAUAGACAUCCAAAGUAUCAAUAUUUGGGGGCACAGUUUCAAUCCUAAAUCCAUUUCUUAGAUUCUGUAAGUACAUAUUGAGUAAUUACCAACUUAAAUACCCUGGAGAUACAAAGAUGACUAUGAC